CGGCUGCGACGAGUUCCGCAUGUACGAGUUCAAGGUCCGCCGUUGCGCCCGCGCGCGCAGCCACGACUGGACCGAGUGCCCCUUCGCGCACCCGGGGGAGAAGGCCCGCCGCCGCGACCCGCGCAAGUACCACUACUCCGGCACCGCCUGCCCGGACUUCCGCAAGGGCGGGUGCAAGCGCGGCGACAACUGCGACUUCGCGCACGGCGUCUUCGAGUGCUGGCUCCACCCGGCGCGCUACCGCACCCAGCCCUGCAAGGACGGCACCGCCUGCCGCCGCCGGGUCUGCUUCUUCGCCCACACCCCGGACCAGCUGCGGGUGCUGCCCACCACGCAGCAUCAGCAGUCCAGCCCCCGCGGCGCCGCGGCGUGCUCCCCGCUCGCCGACUCCUACGACGGCUCCCCGCUGCGGCGCCAG
rnacentral:lncRNA from 1 species